UCCCAGCAGGACUGAGCCUCAAUUGCCCACAGCAGGAAGCAGCUCAAUCAUGUACCCUUUAAUUGGCUCUCUCUGGAUCUGGGAUGCACUCCUGCUCCCUGGGAUCACUCCUCAAAAUAAACCAUCCGCUUGCUGUGGCAACCGGAAAGGCAAAGCCCCUGCUUUAAAGGAACGAGAGAUUUAAAUCUAGAGCUAGAGAGCGGCUCUAGACAACGGACAGCUGAAAAGAACAAACACAAUAAUAACAUCAUUUUGAUAGUUAGCAGGGCCUUGGAAAAAUUAAACGUGGUCAAGUGGUAGAGCAUGACGGGUAAAAUUGCAUUUAGUGGUUCACAGGUCUCAACAUACAACAGAACCACUUGGAGGGCUUGAAAACACAGAGGCACCUGGGCCCCACACCAGAUUUCCUUAAUUAGCGGACCUGAGUGGGGGCCUCAGAAGCUACUUGUUAGUCUCAGGUGAUGCCGAUGCUGGUGGUCUGGGGACUACGAAUUGAAAACCACUAGAUUAUUUAGAGCUGAAGCAUGAAAAGGAGCCAAGAGUACAAGGAACACAGAGAAGAGAAUCCAGGCAAAGACAUGAUAAACAGAACAAAGAUUUUAGAAGGAGAAGGAUUCGACUGGCUCAGCCUUAAGUGCAGCGAGGAAUACCUCAUCAUCUGAUGCUCAGCAAAAUUACUCAUGGGGAGAAAUACCAGUUCUACAAAAGCACCAAGGAGAAAAAGAGGUUGAAAUAUACAAUGAGAGCACUUGAAAAGUUGCAGCCAAGGAGAGAGAGGAGAAUGUGGUUACCUUCAUUGAAACAGAUCUCUCAGCAUUUUAAAUAAUUCAGUAUUUUUUGCUCUACGAACAGUGAUGUUUUUCAACAAUAUCAACUACUAAUUAAGAAGAAUCUUAUAAAACAAAAAUAUCAAAUAUUUUAUUACAAUGAUAAGGUGAAUAUAUUGAUCCUCCUGGAAGAAUCAUUCACUGGCGGUAGAACUGAGUCCAAUUUUAAGUUCUACAGGGGAACUGGUUUCGGUUUAAAUUAAUAAAGAAUUUGAAAUAGACUUUUCCAAGGAUGGAAAGCAUUGCUCUGGAAGAUAAUGAAUCUCAGACAUGGAAGACAUCCUGGCUAGGCUACAUAAUCAUUGGGCAGAGACUUUUGUCAUGAGGAUUCAAACCAUCAACUACAUGGACCCUAGGAGUAUACGAUCCUAUAACAAGUUGAGUGAUCCAUCCAAUUUGCUGGUUUAUUAAGAUGCUUUUCAUUGCUGCGAAGGUUCUAAAUUACUGCUGAGGCAUCAAUGGUAAUUUUCAGUAUACAGAACUCAAACCCUCAGCAUCUCUAAUUCCAUCAACCUCUAUGCACUCAACUGCAUCUAAUAGUAUCAAAAACUUAGCCCAUCUUCAAACUGCUGACUUUUUCAAACUGCUCAAUUCCAAUUCGAUGCCAGUUUUAUUAAAGGAAGAGGUCAUUAAAAAAUAUAUUUAUUUUGGGGCUGGCCCAGUGGUGCAGCGGUUAAGUGCUCAUGUUCCACUUUGGCAGCCCGGGGUUUGCCGGUUUGGAUGCUGGGUGCAGACAUGGCACCGCUUGGCACACCAUGCUGUGGUAGGCAUCCCACAUAUAAAGUAGAGGAUGAUGGGCAUGGAUGUUAGCUCAGGGCCAGUCUUCCUCAGUGAAAAGAGGAAGAUUGGCAGCAGUUAGCUCAGGGCUAAUCUUCCUCAAAAGAAAAAAUAUAUAUAUAUAUAUAUAUUUAUUUCAUAACGAGCUUUUCUCUUCCUGUUUUGGAACACUAAGAGGUAGUAGUGAUCCUUCCAGUAAUUAAUUGCAGGCAGCCCUUCAAGUCAAGUUGCCUGCAUUUGAUUACUGGCUUCACCACCUACUAGCUGUGGUGACAUAGGAAAAUAAAUUUACUUGCCCUGUCUAUGCUUUCGUUUCUUUUUCUGGAAAAUGGGGGUGAUAGUUGUAAUCCACUUAUAGGGUUUUGAGUGAUUUAAAUUGUUAAUGCUUGCAGAGUGCUUAGACCAGUGACUGACAUUUGUUUUCACUUAAUAAGAGAUAACUGUUAUUUUCAGAAUUUAGAUCAGUAUUUUGCAAGCAGAAAUUAGAGGCCUUCUCUAUUCGCUUAGAAUUCCUGCUGAGAAGUUACAAAUCCCCUUUUUGUUUUGCUUGACUUUUCUGUCACAACACUUCUGGGUUUUCUUCUUGUUUUUAUCUUAAAGACAUCCCGAAUAGAAACUUGACUAGCCCCAAUCAUUCUUAGAUCAUUUGCUUAAACUUUAAGAAGCAUUGUAAUUUGUUUUCAUUUAUUUUCAUCAAGCAAUCAAAACGUUCUCUUUACAUUUCUCUGCUCCUAUCUCUCAUAUUCUGUAUCUCUUUCUUCCCCAUCCAAAUCCCCUAUGAUGCUCACCUUUUCUGUCUGCCAGACUCCAGAAGGAAGGAUGGGACAUCUUGUCACCAAUUCUUAGAGAGCAGAAAUCACAGGGUCAGCUAGGUCCUUUCCAAUUAACACUCCAAAUUACAUUUGUGAGGUGUGAGCUUUAGUGGUGUGUUCUCUGCUGUCAGACCGGGUGAAAAAAAUUCCAUCAAAAAUAGCCUGCAGAGAGCCACAUGACCUUGGGUAUCAUUGAAGAUGUAAAUGCUUUUUAAGAUGUUUAGAAAGAGAUGACAAAAUGCUUCUCUGACUAGUGCUGAAACGAGCAAAUCAUAAUUUUAUUU
ensembl:lncRNA